AGCAAAAUGAGUGAAUCUACACUCUAAAAUAUGUUUACAUACAUCCGUAUGUUAUAGGCCAUUUGAAAUGUCUAAAAAGACUUAUAUUUAGGUACAAAGGGAGUACAUGUUAUAUCACUUGAUUAAGACUUGAAAGUAAGUUUUGUAACUGACGCAUAAAAAUAAAGCAGCGACAUUAACCCUAAAGAAAAAUUGACGCAUAAAAAUUACUGCAGCCAACGUGUGAAAAUCAAUCCAUGGGUACGUUAUUACGCAGAGAAGAAACGUUCCCCAUCUCCCUGGACCUAUAAAUACAGUACUCCCGUGUCCCAACUUUGCACGUCUCGUCGCCACACACACACACACGCAUGCACACUCGCUCCCUCCUAUCUCUGUAUCCAUCCAUCAACCUCAACACAGGUGCGUGCAACUCGACCCCGCAUGGCGCCUGCCUGCCACCUCGCGACGGCGACUGCCGCCGCCGUCGUGGCGUUCCCCCUGCUCGGGGCGCCGAUUGACUGACGCGUCGCGCGUAGGGAUGUCAACCGGGUCCCGUUUAAUCCCGUUUAAAAUCCAUUUAUGAUAUGAUAGUUCAAAAAGGUUUUUUGUUUGUUUAAGACAAAUGAACUAUCAAACUAGUAAAAACUAACUAAACGGAAUUGCGGACAUCAUUUAUUUGCCACUUACGUCCCUCACGCGGUUCACGUUCUGCGGCUGAGCCGGCUACGUCGCCGGUCUCGAGGGCGCCGAGGUCACUCCCCGCUGCUGCAAGGGGCUCGGCAUCAUCAAGGACUUGCGACCACCGCGGACCAGCGGCGGGAGCUCUGCGAGUGUGUGCACUUGGUCAUGAUCGCCGGCGGCCGGGUGAUCCCCCGCCGCGGCCAGCUCCUCCGCACCGCGUGCGGCUUUGGCGUCGACUUCCUCCCGACCAACUUCUACUUCAACUGCUCCCGCCUCCCGGAUCUGUGAGCCCGAAGGAACCAUAUAUAUCACGGCCGAACCGAUCGAAGAGAAGGCACGAAAAGCUUGCGGGGCUUGGAUUAUUUUGCCCUUCCCUUUCUUUUGCGACGAGUGUGGGCAGAAGAAUAUGUUUUGCUGCUCAGUUACUGCAGCAAUAAAAAUCGACGCAAACUUCAUAUCUCC